AACUUUCAACAACGGAUCUCUUGGUCCUGGCAUCGAUGAAGAACGCAGCGAAAUGCGAUAAGUAAUGUGAAUUGCAGAAUUCAGUGAAUCAUCGAAUCUUUGAACGCACAUUGCGCCCUUUGGUAUUCCAGAGGGCAUGCCUGUUCGAGCGUC
rnacentral:rRNA from 1 species